UACGAAGGGUGCAACCGUUGCUCGGAAUUAUUGGGCGUAAAGCGCACGUAGGCGGCUUUGCAAGUCCCAUGUGAAAGCCCACGGCUCAACCGUGGAAGUGCAUGGGAAACUGCAGAGCUUGAGUACUUAAGAGGAUCGCGGAAUUCCCGGUGUAGAGGUGAAAUUCGUAGAUAUCGGGAGGAACACCAGUGGCGAAGGCGGCGAUCUGGGAAGAUACUGACGCUGAGGUGCGAAAGCGUGGGGAGCAAACAGG
rnacentral:rRNA from 1 species